CAAUUCCUUCUGAAACUGAAAAAGAGAAUCCUUCACUGGAUUUCAGGUAAGGCCACAACUAGACUGGAAGCAAGGAGAGCUGAAAAUGAAUCCGAUAGGCGCUGGGAUGUCCCAGGACAAAUCUGGUGGUAGAGGCUGAGUGCAUUCUGUGCCGUGGGCGCCCAAGCACAAAGACCUACGUAAGCCUUUGCUAAGUGAAAAAGCUUGUCUUUCUCCAAAUUCUCACAGAAUGACCUAUGUGACCACCCAGCGUGGACAGUCAUACAGAGGGGUGGUGUCCUAUUUGACUUUUGCAGAGCACACUGAUUUGUUUACUUGUAUGUGGUGCAUUUCCUUAUAGGAGUUACAAACCCUAGCAAACUUCCGAAAUCUUCCUGCAAUAACAAUAGUGCUCUAGGGAGUGCGGGAGAAGCCCUUCCCACCUCUGCAGAAGACCAGGCAGAGAAAAAGGAGAUUUAUCGUGGGCGUUGAGAGUUGGAGGGGUGGGAGGAACAUUUAGAGAAGAGCAAAGAGAGACAUUUUUCACUGGGGACAUUGGGAAUGAUGGCGUCCUCUGCUAAAAAUGGUGAGGAAGCAAUUUCCCUGGAGGUUCAGAAAACAGGACUGGACUCAUUGCUGGCUAUUCAGUGAGGGCCUGGGGAUGGUGGUGGGAAAAUGGGCUGGGUGUGACCCCUGGCUGCUCAUCUAAGGUCUCUCUGUUCUGAUUUUAUUCCAGCCAGUCUGGGAGGAAGAGAAGAGUUGAGGAUAGUUGAGUAUUUCCGUGGAGGGCAUGUGCUGUCAGACGAUGGGGGACGGAGCCUGGCUUUCUGGAUCUCCCUAGAACUGCGCCAGGAACCAGGAGGCCGGGGCUGGGAUGUGAUGCUGUCGUCAACCGGCAUCAAAGACCCAGGACCACUCUAGCCACAGUUUUAUCCUCUGUGAAAUCCAAACGUGUAGUUUCAAGUUGCGCAAGGGCUGUUCUUGGCCUGCAGGACCACGCAACCAGGGAGACUGCACCCCCCAACACACACACACUGGGAUGCAGUUGUAAUAAGAAACAAACACUAUCCUAAGGGCGAAUGGGGAAGGGCAGAAAUCGAUUCUACCUUUGGAAUCUUACAAGUUCUUGGAGAAGUGAGUUACUAGGCCUUGAGUAUGUUUAGAUGAGGUGCUGACAGGUGGGUACGGGAGCAGAUAAAGCAAGUGAACAAAAAGAGGAAAACUGGGUGAGUGCAGGUGGCAAGUUUUGGGAGUGGAAAAUAAGGGACUACGAUCCGGGCACAGGAACACAUCAGACACAGCAGGUCCUCAGUCGAUAUCUGUGACUGGUGAUGGCAGUAACAAGGACCGGGCUAGAACAGGAGGGCAUCUCCCUGGCUGAAGGGCCAGAAGCAGCACCAAGUCCACAUGGGCUCUUGAGAGGGAGACAGGCCACUCUGAUGGGCUCUGUGUCCACUGGCAGGUAGACACGAGAGAGGAGGCCCGAGGGCAGAGGAGAAAGGUCCUGGGGGAGAGAUGACAAGGGUUUGAAUUUAGAUAGCAACAUUGGGAUGGGGAGGGAUGUAAAAAACAGUGCAAAAGAAGAUUCUGCAGGUUUCUGGAGGCUGAUGAGAUGUGCAAAGAGAGGAAGGGGAGAUGAAAACAAUUCUGAGGAUUUUGAACCUGGGCAACGGGGAGGGUGGAGAUUCAUAAACAGAGAUGGGCAAACUGAGGAAGAGAGAGGGAAACCUGGAAGAAGGUUGUCAGGAGAGCCCAAGAAGAGAAUCUGAGUAGUCAGUGGGGGCUGAGCCAUGUGAGGAGGGGGUCAUGGAGGUGGUUCCCGGGGCCAUGGUUGGGAGCAAGGCCUAUGAAAAUGGCCCCAAGCAGCGGCCAGUUGCCAAAACCCGAGGAGAGAAAAUAGAAGCAGAAGGUGUCAGGGACCCCAUAAAGAAGUUUGUAAUACAUGGAACAAAAGAAAAUGAUGGUGAACUUAAAGACAGUGGGCCCAGGGGAAGCCAUUUUAGGAUAAGGAAGAUGUGGCCAUGCUUUGGUGCCACGCUUCUCAAACGUGAAUGUGCAUUCGCAUCACAGGGAAUCCCAUUAAUGCAACUUCUGAUCCAAGAACGAGGACAGAGGAUGGCAUGGCAUGGAAGAGACAGGAGCCGAUGAGGCCGCUUUGGGCCUGGUAAGUAAGUUAGUUUUGCGGAGGAAGAUGGGGUGUCAGCUGCACCCAGACCGAGGGAAGGGAAGAUGAGAGGGUGAUGUGAAGGAACCGUGAGGUGGGGGAAAGAGGUGCAAGGAAGCCCCUGAAGAGAUGCCUGGAUCUUCUUGGUCUGGUGAGCAGUGAGAGACUCUGUGGGUGGCAGGUGGAGGUGGGGUCUGGGGAGUCCAAGGAGGGGGAAAGGCCUCAGGGACAGUGGUUUGGCUGACUUGCUGGCCAGAGAGGAGAGUGGUGCAGAUGAAAGCUUGGGUGGAAAAGGAAGCCCUUAAAGGGACAUGGGCAGGCGGUGGGCACAAGAAAGGGCAGGAGAGGACAGUGGCAGAAAGGAAGAGGUGAGAGGAGAAGCUGUUCCAGAGCCACUGGUGGCGAGGUCUGGGAAGUGAGUGUGGGAGGUGGCUAAGGGGGCAGAUGAGAGACUGAGAUGGAACAGGCUGGAGGCUGGAAAGAUGAGGGCGUGCAUGCAAAGGGCAGAGGCCUGAGGAGAGGGAGGCUGGUCUUGUGGCAGAGUGAUGAGUGACAGGAAGCACCAGGGCCCAACAGCUCCAGGAGGGUGGAAGCCAGGCCUGGCUGUGGAAGGUCCUUCCAUUCGUUCCAUGGGUUAGCAACAGCACCUGUUUCAGGAAGCCAGAACGGCUCCUCAAGGCAGAGGGGGCCUGGCCUGUUCUCAUUCACUCAACCCCCACUUCCUGAGGCUCCUUGAAUGCGGCUCCGGGCUGGACUGCUGAGGGCUGAGUCUCAUGCCUUUGGACCAUGACAUGGAGGGGUGAUGGGAAAAGUGAGUCCUUCAGUGAGGACUUGAGGGCACCCUGUGGUCAUCCCAGCUACCUGCCGCUGCUGCCCCAGGUCAGGGGAGGUUAAAACCCAACUCUGGGUCAAGUCACUGGGAGCUGAGAUUCCAGCAGUCCCGCUUUGCCGGCCCCUGGGACCACCCCUCACCUCUCCCACACUGCAACACAGGGCUUGAAGCCAGUGAGUGCUCCUGGCACAAGCCGGAGUGGGGUGGGGUGGGGGCUCCAGCCGGGAAGGAGGACCAGCCAACAGCAUGGCUGGACACCCCGCUAUCAGUUUGUUCGGCUCGGUUUGAUUCUCUUUCUCUCCCUGGUGGGCUUCAGCUUGUAGUUGUUUGCUCUUCAUCAGUGGUUUAUGGGGACCAUGGUGUUUGGGGAGGAGAGAGCGGGGACGGGAACUCUCAGAUGCUGUGCUGGUGCCCAGCCGUGCCCUGGGCCUUCUCCGCCGGCCCCGCCAUGCCUGGGGUGGGCCUCGAUGGGCCUAACCCUCAGACCCGCAGCCCUUGUCACACAGCUCCUCGUGGUGUCCUUUUUAGGCCCCUUGGGACUCGGACCAAUGCCUGCCAGAAACCACGUGGGCUCCUUCCCUCCAAAUCAGAACUUCCUUUCUUUAUUCCCUCCGCUGAGGCCUGGGGUUUCUUUGCCUUUCAGCCCGGUUCUUCCUCCCUGUGGAGGUCUUUGCAGCAAGGGGGCAGGACGUUGGGUGGCUGGCCUUCCUUUGGCUCUGUCCCCCCUGGGUGACCUAUGGCUGCUUCUGCGUUGCCAGACGCACUCUGUCCUCCUGAGGCACCGGGGGACAGCCUCUGGCCCUUCCUGGUGUGCCUCCUCUGCGUCUGUCUGUCGUCCUACCCACCCAUCCCUGUGUUCCUUGCCCCUUCCCCGGGCCUCUGGUUAUUUGUCCACAGAGGAGGAGGGAAGCUCUCAAGGAUUUGUGCAGAGACCCUGGACAGAAGAAGAUACGUGGAAUUUGCAAAAAAUCCAGGAGCAAAGUUGUAACUUGACUUGAAAACAAACAAAAGGGCCAGAACUGCACUUAAGCUCCGCAGACGCUCCUCUCCCAGUGUAAACAGAAAAGGGCAGGCUUGGGCCGAGCAGCCUCCUCAGGACUGGGACAGCCAGGGAGGGGUCCGGAGCAGGCUGGCCGCCCACUUCCUCCCGAGGAGACAGGUUGUGGGGAAAGGUCUCUGUGGCCUCGUGAGAGGAGAAAGAAGAGGCUGGCAGUGCUGUUGUUUGCCACUUAGUUUUCCAUGACUUACUUACCCUUUUGAAAUGACAUUCUCAGGAUUGGGACAAGAAGGUUGUUUUGGGGGGGGAAUGCCUUCUUGGCCUGUUACCCUGGCUGGGGCCGGGCAGAUAAGAGCUUGGAGCAGGGGAGAGCAAACUGAGGUGAGGGGCAUAAGCUCCCAAGGACCCCGCCUUCCCUGGACUGGAACGUUAGGGAGCUCACCUGGACCGCUCAGCUCAAAGGGGCAGAGUGCACCGCACUGCUCUUCCCUCAGACAGUGGCCUGUCAGCAUGACCCUGCAGCGGCCCCUCCUGGGGGCGUCACCGUGCCUCCCCUAGAAGUGUUAGGCUGUAACCACCACGAUUACAGCGCCUUGCCUUUCCAUACAAUUUUUAAGUGCUUCCACACACAUCCUCUGAGUUGGAACAGAUAUCAUCAGCAUUUUAUGGGCAGGAAAACCGACACAGAGAGGUAAAGACCCCUAUCCAAGGUCACACAGCAAAUCUGCAGUUGACCAAAGUCGGUGCAGCGGCAAAGUUGGAUCUUGAGAUACAGUUCCCACUGAUGACAAACUGUGUGAUCUUGGGUGAGUUACCUAAUCUCUCUGGGCACAGGCUGCCCUCCGUAAGAUGCAAUUUGUUCCAAAGUUUGAGCAGCUUGAUUGCUCCCUCUCACACUCUGUCCGGGCUUAUCAAAGUCGGGGACCUCAGGGGGACCUAAUAAGGUGUUGAAGAGUCUACAAAGCCACAGCUUAAACAUGGCACAUCUUUCUGGAGCCUCAUGUCUACACUUGGAUAUUUUGGGAGGAAAAAAAAUCUCUUUUUUUUUAAUUGUAAAAGAAGAUGGCUAUAUUAUAGAAGGGAAAGCAAAAUUCCAACUUUCGAAGUAAAACAGGAAACGUAAGGACAUUUUGUGCUUGCUGCUGUCUGUUUCAGGUCCUCCAAGUAUGCGUUUGUUCUCUUGUGCAGCCUGUGAUGUAGGUGGGGGAAUUUUCUAAUGGGUAUUCAGGGUCCAGCAGGCAGUGAACUGCAGAAGCUCAUAUUCCUGCGCUGUGUGUGUGUGUGUGUGUGUGUGUGUGUGUGUGCGUGUGAGUGUGGCUGCAUCCCCUCUCCUAAAGAGAGAGCUGUUUCCACAGCAUCUGACACAGUUGUUCUUAUCCGGGCUUCACAUUAGAGUCACCUGAUGAGCUUUCAAAAAAUAGGCACGUCAGGUGCCACUCUGACCAAGUGAACUGGCAUCCUGGGAGUGCUCCGUGUGUGUGAAGAGCUUCCCGGGUGACGCUAAUAUGCGGCGUGGACUGGGUAUACUGACUUAUAGUUCAGACUUGGCAGUUCAGGGAACCCCAGGGUGUCCACGUCCAUGGAGGGAAACAGUGACAGACAGCUCCCUACCCUUGGCCUCCCAACUGCUGCUUAGACUAGUGAGCAGGUGAAACCACAUUCCCGAAGCCCACACCCCCAACUAAAGGAAGGGGCAGUGAUGGAGGUGGAGAAUAAGAUAGAACUUUGUCGGGGUGGGAGCAGGAAGGCUGUUCUGGGUUGGAUGGUAGCCCCCUAAAAUCCAUGUCCUUCCUGGAGCUCAGAACGUGUCCUGUUAAAGUAGGGUCGUGGCAGAUGUAAUUUGUGAAGAUGAGGUCAUACUGGAGUAGGGUAAACCCUUAAUUCCUUCCAAAGUUUAAGCAGGAAAACUGCACAGAGAAGUAAAGACACCUCUCCGAGGUGACACAGCAGAUUGGCAGUUGGCCCAGGCCAGUGCAGUGGAGAGGCUGAGUCUUGAGAUACAGUUCCUGACAAGAAGAGGAGAGACACAGGGAGAGUGGCGCAUGAAGAGGGAGACAGGGAUCGGAGCGAUCACGCAGCCAGAUGUCAGGGAGUGCUAAGGAUAGCAGGCAACCACCAGAAGCUGGAGAGAGGCCUGGAACAGGUUCUCCCUCAGAGCCCUCAGCAAGAGACAACCUUGCCAACGCCUUGAUUUCAGACUUCCAGCCUCCAGAACUGUGGGGGAAUACACUCCUGUUGUAAGCCAAGCUUCGAGUUCGUGGUCCUGUUACAGCAGCCCUGGGAAACAGAUACGAAGGCUGAGGCCCAGAUGGCAGGGCACGCCCCACGGGAGGGCCAAAGCGGUCAGGCACAAAUGCCAGCCCUUGCCUGGCCACCGCAGCCACUGGCGGGACACUGCAGGCGGUGAGACGGCCUUCGGCAGCCACCACUAACUGUACAAAGCCCAAAAAUCUUGGGAAUAUUUUCAGCCCAUUGGCACUUAUCAAAUAUCACACUGGAAACCCCAGAAAUUUGUGUGGGAUCCUUUCCAGGACGAGAGGAUUUCACAAAUUUGGCCUUGCGCAGGGCGAGUUUCUUGGAAUUUCAGCCUCCGAGUGGGCGUGGCCUCCUUGUUCUCGUUCGCCCCACCUUCCUGCAAGCGGCCCCUGUCACUCCUGGGCCCACCUGCCGCAUGUCCGGGUGACCCUGGAGACAGACUCUCGGGGCCACGCCAUGUCUGCGUUCCUCCAGCUCUUUGGUUUCCCCUUCAUGGUUUUGGGAGUUCCGUGGCACUCAGCAGCUGGUGGCUCUGGCAGUCUGAGAAAUACAAAGCUCGGGGCCUCUGUUGAGGCUUUUCUGAAGCUCCAUUUCAUUUGGGCUAGAGGUGAACACUUCCUCCGGAGACCCCGGCAGGCGGGACUGAAGCAAAGUUCAAGGAACAGUCGCUUCCAUCAUGGCUGGGUGUUGUUCGUCUGGCUGGGACGCAGCCGAACAGCAGGCUGACAGGCGACAAGCGGCCCAGGAGCGGUGGCAGGGCCGGGCGCUGGAGGAGUGGCUGGAGGCAAGACGCUGUGCCCAGCUUCCCGGCACCGGCUCUCCGUCUUAACAACAGUUUAACAACAGCCGUAAUCAUUAACUCCCUGAACGCUUUCCUUGAAAGUUCCAUGUUACCCGACACUUGGACAUAAUUAAAACAGAACAACCGUUUGCAGUUAACUUUACCUUUAUGACCUCACAGAUUUUUACAAGGGUGUCCCAGAACGCCUUCUCUUCAAAGGAAAGCCAAGGGGUAUGCCAAGGGCCUCAAGAAAGCGCACAGAGCGGGACCCUGAAUCUCUGCAUACUCAUAAAUGAAAAGAUGAAAGAAAAAAACACGCAGUUUUUUUAUGGUUAUAAAAAUAACACAUGGUCACAGAGGACAAUGGGGAAGACACAGAAAAGUAUAAAAAAUCAAACAGAAGCCACCCACAAGCCCACCCCUAGAGACCACUGUCAAUGUUCUGUGGUAUAUAUAUCCUUCCUGAGUAUGAAAAUACGUCUUCACAUCUGCAUCUUAAAAAUAAAGGUAGAAACGGGCUUGGACGCUAUGAAUCAUACUUUUAAAAAUGGGGCUCUACAAUGUAUUCUAUUUCAGGUAAAUUUGAUACAAGGAUCAAUAAAAAGAAUCAAGUUAAUUUAUCCACAA